AGAGUUUGAUCCUGGCUCAGAAUCAACGCUGGCGGCGUGCCUCAGACAUGCAAGUCGAACGCGAAAGUCCCCUUCGGGGGACAAGUAGAGUGGCGCACGGGUGAGUAACACGUGGGUAAUUUACCUUCGGGUGGGGAAUAACAGCCGGAAACGGCUGCUAAUACCGCAUAAUGCAGCGGCACCUAAUGGUGACAGUUGUUAAAGCGGGGGAUCGUAAGACCUCGCGCCUGAAGAGAAGCCCGCGGCGGAUUAGCUAGUUGGUAGGGUAACGGCCUACCAAGGCGACGAUCCGUAGCCGGCCUGAGAGGGCGGUCGGCCACACUGACACUGGUACACGGGUCAGACUCCUACGGGAGGCAGCAGUCGGGAAUUUUGGGCAAUGGGCGCAAGCCUGACCCAGCAACGCCGCGUGAAGGAUGAAGUUUCUCGGAAUGUAAACUUCACAAGAGUGGGAAGAAUAAGCGCGGGCCAACACCCCGCGCGAUGACGGUACCAUUUGUAAGCUCCGGCUAACUCCGUGCCAGCAGCCGCGGUAAUACGGGGGGAGCAAGCGUUGUUCGGAUUUACUGGGCGUAAAGGGCGCGUAGGCGGCGCGACAAGUCACUUGUGAAAUCUCCGGGCUCAACCCGGCAGCGGUCAAGUGAUACUGUCGUGCUAGAGUGCGGAAGGGGCAACUGGAAUUCUCGGUGUAGCGGUGAAAUGCGUAGAUAUCGAGAGGAACACCUGCGGCGAAGGCGGGUUGCCGGGCCGACACUGACGCUGAGGCGCGAAAGCUAGGGGAGCGAACGGGAUUAGAUACCCCGGUAGUCC
rnacentral:rRNA from 1 species